UACGGGGGGGGUAAGCGUUGUUCGGAAUUACUGGGCGUAAAGGGCUCGUAGGCGGCCAACUAAGUCAUACGUGAAAUCCCUCAGCUUAACUGGGGAACUGCGUCUGAUACUGGAUGGCUUGGAUCCGGGAGAGGGAUGCGGAAUUCCAGGUGUAGCGGUGAAAUGCGUAGAUAUCUGGAGGAACACCGGUGGCGAAGGCGGCAUCCUGGACCGGUAUUGACGCUGAGGAGCGAAAGCCAGGGGAGCAAACGGG
rnacentral:rRNA from 1 species